rnacentral:rRNA from 1 species
AGGGCACCACCAGGAGUGGAGCCUGCGGCUUAAUUUGACUCAACAUGGGAAAACUCACCCGGCCCGGACACCGUAAGGAUUGACAGACUGAGAGCUCUUUCUUAAUUCGGUGGGUGGUGGUGCAUGGCCGUUCUUAGUUGGUGGAGCGAUUUGUCUGGUUAAUUCCGAUAACGAACGAGACUCUGGCCUAUUAAAUAGACGAUAUAUCUAUCUAGUAUAUCGCGCUUCUUAGAGGGACAAGCGGCGUCCAGCCGCAUGAAAUAGAGCAAUAACAGGUCUGUGAUGCCCUUAGAUGUCCGGGGCUGCACGCGCGCUACACUGAAAGAAUCAGCGUGCGUUUUACCUAGUUCGGAAGAACCGGGUAACCCAAGUAAAUUCUUUCGUGCUUGGGAUAGGGAAUUGCAAUUAUUUCCCUUGAACGAGGAAUUCCCAGUAAAUGCGGGUCAUAAGCUCGCGUUGAUUACGUCCCUGCCCUUUGUACACACCGCCCGUCGCUACUACCGAUUGGAUGACUUAGUG